GUUCCUUUGGGACAUCCGAUAAAAUUAGAAUGAUACAGAGAAGAUUAGCAUACCUCGCACAAGAAUAAAAAAAAUAAAGCUUACAUUCAUCGAUAUCGU